UACGGGGGGGGCAAGCGUUGUUCGGAAUUACUGGGCGUAAAGGGUGCGUAGGCGGUCCGCUAAGUUGGAUGUGAAAACUCUGGGCUUAACCCAGAGCCUGCAUUCAAAACUGACGGGCUAGAGUUCUGGAGGGGGUAGCGGAAUUCCUGGUGUAGCGGUGAAAUGCGUAGAUAUCAGGAAGAACACCCGUGGCGAAGGCGGGUCUCUGGACAGUUCCUGACACUGAGACACGAAGGCCAGGGGAGCAAACGGG
rnacentral:rRNA from 1 species